rnacentral:rRNA from 1 species
UACGGAAGGUGCAAGCGUUGUUCGGAUUUAUUGGGCGUAAAGCGCGUGUAGGCGGUCUCUUAAGUCUGAUGUGAAAGCCCUGGGCUCAACCCAGGAAGUGCAUUGGAUACUGGGAGACUUGAAUACGGGAGAGGGUAGUGGAAUUCCUAGUGUAGGAGUGAAAUCCGUAGAUAUUAGGAGGAACACCCGUAGCGAAGGCGGCACUCUGGGCCGGUACUGACGCUGAGGAGCGAAAGCGUGGGGAGCAAACAGG